CCGUAGCUCAAUUGGAUAGAGCAACAGAUUUCUAAUUUGUAGGUCAUAGGUUCGAGCCCUAUCGG
rnacentral:tRNA from 1 species